rnacentral:rRNA from 1 species
CAGCAGCCGCGGUAAUACGUAGGUGGCAAGCGUUGUCCGGAAUUAUUGGGCGUAAAGCGCGCGCAGGCGGCCUAUCCAGUCUGUCUUAAAAGUUCGGGGCUCAACCCCGUGGUGGGAUGGAAACUAGUAGGCUAGAGUAUCGGAGAGGAAAGCGGAAUUCCUAGUGUAGCGGUGAAAUGCUCAGAUAUUAGGAAGAACACCAGUGGCGAAGGCGACUUUCUGGACGAAAACUGACGCUGAGGCGCGAAAGCCAGGGGAGCGAACGGGAUUAGAUACCCCCGUAGUCCCUGUCUCUUAUACA